rnacentral:siRNA from 1 species
AUCGUUAAACUUCACUGGAUUAUA